rfam:Cavia porcellus supercont2_4 genomic scaffold, whole genome shotgun sequence.
AUCCUUCAGUUCGUGAGCGUGAUGAUUGGGUGUUCAUGCUGUGUACAUGAGAUGUGUCUCCCUCAAACCUUAUUAUGACGUUGGUGCGUUAUCUGUCUGACA